rnacentral:rRNA from 1 species
GACGAACGCUGGCGGCGUGCUUAACACAUGCAAGUCGAACGAGAAUCAGUGGAAAGAGGUUUCGGCCAAUUGAAGCUGAGGACAGUGGCGGACGGGUGAGUAACGCGUGAGGAACCUGCCUUUCAGAGGGGGACAACAGUUGGAAACGACUGCUAAUACCGCAUAACGCAUAGGUAUCGCAUGGUAUUUAUGCCGAAGAUUUAUCGCUGAAAGAUGGCCUCGCGUCUGAUUAGCUAGUUGGUGAGGUAACGGCCCACCAAGGCGACGAUCAGUAGCCGGACUGAGAGGUUGACCGGCCACAUUGGGACUGAGAUACGGCCCAGACUCCUACGGGAGGCAGCAGUGGGGAAUAUUGGGCAAUGGGCGCAAGCCUGACCCAGCAACGCCGCGUGAAGGAAGAAGGCUUUCGGGUUGUAAACUUCUUUUGUCAGGGAAGAAUAGAAGACGGUACCUGACGAAUAAGCCACGGCUAACUACGUGCCAGCAGCCGCUGUAAUAC